GUAGGUGGCAAGCGUUGUCCGGAAUUAUUGGGCGUAAAGCGCGCGCAGGCGGUCCUUUAAGUCUGAUGUGAAAGCCCACGGCUCAACCGUGGAGGGUCAUUGGAAACUGGGGGACUUGAGUACAGAAGAGGAAAGCGGAAUUCCAAGUGUAGCGGUGAAAUGCGUAGAGAUUUGGAGGAACACCAGUGGCGAAGGCGGCUUUCUGGUCUGUAACUGACGCUGAGGCGCGAAAGCGUGGGGAGCAAACAGGAUUAGAUACCCUGGUAGUCCACGCCGUAAACGAUGAGUGCUAAGUGUUAGGGGGGUUUCCCGCCCCCCUUAGUGCUGCAGCUAACGCAUUAAGCACUCCGCCUGGGGGAGUACGGCCGCAAGGCUG
rnacentral:rRNA from 1 species